rnacentral:lncRNA from 1 species
AACCCGUUGGACAUCGACGUUGUUUGAAGAUUCUUGGUCGUCACUGUGUUGAUUCACCCUUUGGGACUAGAGAGUUUCGACAAGGGUUUUCUUCCUCAUUGAGACGAGGUCCCUUGUGCCUUUGAUGUAGUUCAUUUUUCACUUAUCGCUGACGUAGUUCGUCGCAUUCUCUUUUCAUCUCUCUUUUUUUUUGUGUUUGAGUGAGGGUCUUCCC